GACGAACGCUGGCGGCGUGCUUAACACAUGCAAGUCGAACGGAAAGGCUCCAGCUUGCUGGAGUACUCGAGUGGCGAACGGGUGAGUAACACGUGGGUAAUCUGCCCUGCACUCUGGGAUAAGCCUGGGAAACUGGGUCUAAUACUGGAUAUGACCUUUCUCCUUAUGGGGUUUGGUGGAAAGUUUUUCGGUGUAGGAUGAGCCCGCGGCCUAUCAGCUUGUUGGUGGGGUGAUGGCCUACCAAGGCGACGACGGGUAGCCGGCCUGAGAGGGUGAUCGGCCACAUUGGGACGGAGAUACGGCCCAGACUCCUACGGGAGGCAGCAGGGCGGAAUAUUGCACAAGGGGCGGAAGCCGGAUGCAGCGACGCCGCGUGAGGGAUGACGGCCUUCGGGUUGUAAACCUCUUUCAGCAGGGACGAAGCGUAAGUGACGGUACCUGCAGAAGAAGCACCGGCUAACUACGU
rnacentral:rRNA from 1 species